ACUCCUACGGGAGGCAGCAGUGGGGAAUAUUGCACAAUGGGCGCAAGCCUGAUGCAGCCAUGCCGCGUGUAUGAAGAAGGCCUUCGGGUUGUAAAGUACUUUCAGCAGUGAGGAAGGCGGGUGCGUUAAUAGCGUAUUCGUUUGACGUUAGCUGCAGAAGAAGCACCGGCUAACUCCGUGCCAGCAGCCGCGGUAAUACGGAGGGUGCGAGCGUUAAUCGGAAUUACUGGGCGUAAAGCGCAUGCAGGUGGUUUGUUAAGUCAGAUGUGAAAGCCCGGGGCUCAACCUCGGAAUUGCAUUUGAAACUGGCAGACUAGAGUACUGUAGAGGGGGGUAGAAUUUCAGGUGUAGCGGUGAAAUGCGUAGAGAUCUGAAGGAAUACCGGUGGCGAAGGCGGCCCCCUGGACAGAUACUGACACUCAGAUGCGAAAGCGUGGGGAGCAAACAGGAUUAGAUACCCUGGUA
rnacentral:rRNA from 1 species